CAGACGGGUGAGUAACACGUGGGAACAUACCCUCAGGUUCGGAACAACGCCGGGAAACUGGCGCUAAUACCGGAUACGCCCUGUGAAGGGGAAAGGCUUGCUGCCUGAGGAGUGGCCCGCGUUCGAUUAGCUGGAUGGCGGGGUAACGGCCCACCAUGGCGACGAUCGAUAGCUGGUCUGAGAGGAUGGCCAGCCACAUUGGGACUGAGACACGGCCCAGACUCCUACGGGAGGCAGCAGUGGGGAAUAUUGGACAAUGGGCGAAAGCCUGAUCCAGCAAUGCCGCGUGAGUGAUGAAGGCCUUAGGGUUGUAAAGCUCUUUUGUCCGGGACGAUAAUGACGGUACCGGAAGAAUAAGCCCCGGCUAACUUCGUGCCAGCAGCCGCGGUAAU
rnacentral:rRNA from 1 species